rnacentral:rRNA from 1 species
UGGGGAAUAUUGGACAAUGGGCGAAAGCCUGAUCCAGCCAUGCCGCGUGUGUGAAGAAGGUCUUCGGAUUGUAAAGCACUUUAAGUUGGGAGGAAGGGCAUUAACCUAAUACGUUAGUGUUUUGACGUUACCGACAGAAUAAGCACCGGCUAACUCUGUGCCAGCAGCCGCGGUAAUACAGAGGGUGCAAGCGUUAAUCGGAAUUACUGGGCGUAAAGCGCGCGUAGGUGGUUUGUUAAGUUGGAUGUGAAAUCCCCGGGCUCAACCUGGGAACUGCAUUCAAAACUGACUGUCUAGAGUAUGGUAGAGGGUGGUGGAAUUUCCUGUGUAGCGGUGAAAUGCGUAGAUAUAGGAAGGAACACCAGUGGCGAAGGCGACCACCUGGACUAAUACUGACACUGAGGUGCGAAAGCGUGGGGAGCAAACA